rnacentral:ncRNA from 1 species
UAAAAGUUUUAAUUUAGCUUAAAAAAUAAGUACAUAUUAUUUUUACAUGUAUAUUAAAAAAAAAAUAUAUUUUUAAAUAAAAUUUAUUAAUUUAGCAGUAAUUAAUUUUAUAUAUUAAAGAAAUUUAGAUUUUGAUAUAUAUUAUAAUAUUAACAAAAUUUGUGCCAGCAGUUGCGGUUAUACAAAUAAUAUAAUUUAUUUAUAUUAAAUUAUAAUUAAUUUUAAAUUUAUUUAAAUAUUAAUUUAAAAUUAUUAAGUGAAAUUUUAAUUUUAAAAAAUAUUUUAAAUAAUUAUUUGAUGUUAUUAAAUUUAAAUUUAAACUAGGAUUAGAUACCCUAUUAUUAUAAAUGUAAAUUUAAAAUUUAAAUUAUUAUAAGUUAUAGUCUUUAAAGUUAAAAAUUUUGGCGGUAUUUUAGUCUAUUCAGAGGAACCUGUUCUAUAAUUGAUAAUCCACGAUUUAUAAUACUUAUUUUAAAUAAUUUGUAUAUCGUCGUAGUUUGAAUAUUUUAAAAGAAUUUAAAUGUUCAUAAUUUUUUAUUUAAAAAUAAAUCAGAUCAAGGUGCAGUUUAUAAAUAAGUAGAAAUGGGUUACAAUAAUAUUAAUUUUGGCAUUAAAGUUUAAAUAUUUUAAUUAAAUUGGAUUUGAAAGUAAUAUAAAUAAAUUAAUUUAUAUAAUUUAAGCUCUAAAAUAUGUACAUAUCGCCCGUCACUCUCAUUCAAAAUUAGAUAAGUCGUAACAAAGUAGAGGUACUGGAAAGUGUUUCUAGAAAGAC